UACGUAGGGUGCAAGCGUUAAUCGGAAUUACUGGGCGUAAAGCGUGCGCAGGCGGUUUUGUAAGUCUGUCGUGAAAUCCCCGGGCUCAACCUGGGAAUUGCGAUGGAGACUGCAAGGCUAGAAUCUGGCAGAGGGGGGUGAGAAUUCCACGUGUAGCAGUGAAAUGCGUAGAGAUGUGGAGGAACACCAGUGGCGAAGGCGGCUGCCUGGGCCUGGCCUGACGCUGAGGCGGCGAAAGCGGAUGGGGAG
rnacentral:rRNA from 1 species